rnacentral:lncRNA from 1 species
AUCGUUGCUUCUUCUACCAGGUUCUCUAGUAUAUCUAUUUCGAAAUCAUUGCUUUGAGAUCCUUGGGAAGCAUUGAAUAUGUUCAAUCUCAGCUUUUUGUUCCGAAAUGAAACAUCCAUCUUACAAUUGAUGCAAGCGUUCGUUGUAGCUAGAAAGGGUCACCCUAAAAUUAUGAGAAUUUGUCUCGAUGUACUAGAAUAUUCUUUAUCGAGGACUAGAAAGUCAACUGAAAAGUAAAAUUCAUCUAUUUUGAUGAGUACAUCCUCUAUCAUGCAAUGCGAUAUCUUGAC